rnacentral:rRNA from 1 species
UACGGAGGAGGCAAGCGUUAUCCGGAAUUAUUGGGCGUAAAGCGUCCGUAGAUGGUUUUGCCAGUCUGCUGUCAAAGCACAGGGCUUAACCCUGUAAAGGCAGUGGAAACUACAAGACUAGAGUGCAGUAGGGGCAGAGGGAAUUCCCAGUGUAGCGGUGAAAUGCGUAGAGAUUGGGAAGAACAUCCGUGGCGAAAGCGCUCUGCUGGACUGCAACUGACAUUGAGGGACGAAAGCUAGGGGAGCGAAUGGG